rfam:Triticum aestivum genome assembly, contig: Triticum_aestivum_CS42_TGACv1_scaffold_019287_1AS
AAAAUACUCCCUCCGUCCCAAAAUUCUUGUCUUAGAUUAGUCUAGAUACGGAUGUAUCUAAAAUACUAAAACGUGACUUGAUACAUACGUAUUUAGACAAAUCUAAGACAAGAAUUUUAGGACGGAGGGAGUAGAUG